UGGCGGACGGGUGAGUAACGCGUGGGUAACCUGCCUUGCACUGGGGGAUAACACUUAGAAAUAGGUGCUAAUACCGCAUAAGCGCACGGUCCUGCAUGGGACAGUGUGAAAAACUCCGGUGGUGCAAGAUGGACCCGCGUCUGAUUAGCUGGUUGGCGGGGUAAAGGCCCACCAAGGCGACGAUCAGUAGCCGGCCUGAGAGGGUGAACGGCCACAUUGGGACUGAGACACGGCCCAAACUCCUACGGAAGGCAGCAG
rnacentral:rRNA from 1 species